AUUGAACUCUGGCGGCAGGCCUAACCCAUGCAAGUCGAGCGAGCGGCGGACGGGUGAGUAAUGUAUGGGGACUGCCCGAUCGAGGGGGAUAACUACUGGAACCGGUAGCUAAUACCGCAUACUAUCGGAUAACCCAUAUGGGAUUAGCUAGUAGGUAAGGUAAUGGCUCACCUAGGCGACGAUCCCUAGCUGUUCUGAGAGGAUGAUCAGCCACACUGGAACGGAGACACGGACCAGACUCCUACGGAGGCAGCAGUGGGGAAUAUGGCACAAUGGGCGCAAGCCUGAUGCAGCCAUGCCGCGUGUAUGAAGAAGGACCUAGGGUUGUAAAGUACUUUCAGUCGGGAGGCGUUACCGACAGAAGAAGCACCGGAUAACUCCGUGCCAGCCGCCGCGGUAAUAC
rnacentral:rRNA from 1 species